rnacentral:rRNA from 1 species
UACGGAAGGGUCUAGCGUUGUUCGGAAUUACUGGGCGUAAAGAGCGCGUAGGCGGCUUACCAAGUUGGGGGUGAAAUCCCGGAGGUCAACUCCGGAACUGCCUUCAAAACUGGUAGGCUCGAGUCCGGAAGAGGGGCGUGGAAUUCCCAGUGUAGAGGUGAAAUUCGUAGAUAUUGGGAAGAACACCGGUGGCGCAGGCGGCGCCCUGGUCCGGUACUGACGCUGAGGGGCGAAAGCGUGGGGAGCAAACAGG